UGGGGAAUAUUGCGCAAUGGGGGAAACCCUGACGCAGCGACGCCGCGUGCGGGAUGAAGGCCUUCGGGUUGUAAACCGCUUUUGGUUGGGAGCAAGCUUUCGGGUGAGUGUACCUUUCGAAUAAGCGCCGGCUAACUACGUGCCAGCAGCCGCGGUAAUACGUAGGGCGCAAGCGUUAUCCGGAAUUAUUGGGCGUAAAGCGAGCGCAGGCGGUCAAUUAAGUCUGAUGUGAAAGCCCCCGGCUCAACCGGGGAGGGUCAUUGGAAACUGGUUGACUUGAGUGCAGAAGAGGAGAGUGGAAUUCCAUGUGUAGCGGUGAAAUGCGUAGAUAUAUGGAGGAACACCAGUGGCGAAGGCGACUCUCUGGUCUGUAACUGACGCUGAGGUUCGAAAGCGUGGGUAGCAAACAGG
rnacentral:rRNA from 1 species